rnacentral:rRNA from 1 species
GAUUAACGCUAGCGGCAGGCCUAAUACAUGCAAGUCGAACGGCAGCACGGGUAGCAAUACCUGGUGGCGAGUGGCGCACGGGUGCGUAACACGUAUGCAAUCUACCUUUAACUGGGGAAUAACCCCUCGAAAGAGGGGCUAAUACCGCAUAACACUUCGAUGGGACAUCCCCAAUGAAGUCAAACCUUCGGGGGUUAAAGAUGAGCAUGCGUCCGAUUAGCUAGUUGGCGGGGUAACGGCCCACCAAGGCAACGAUCGGUAGGGGAUCUGAGAGGAUGAUCCCCCACACUGGUACUGAGACACGGACCAGACUCCUACGGGAGGCAGCAGUAAGGAAUAUUGGACAAUGGGCGCAAGCCUGAUCCAGCCAUGCCGCGUGCAGGAUGAAAGUGCUAUGCACUGUAAACUGCUUUUACUUGGGAAAAACCCCUGCUUUCUAGCGGGGCUGAUUGUACCGGGAGAAUAAGGGACGCUAACUUCGUGCCAGCCGCCGCCGUAAG